rnacentral:rRNA from 1 species
UACGAGAGGUGCAAGCGUUAUUCGGAAUUAUUGGGCGUAAAGGGUGCGUAGGCGGGAUGACAAGUCUGUUGUUAAAUAUCCUGGCUCAACCAGGAAAGUGCAAUGGAAACUGUUAUUCUAGAGGGUGAGAGAGAGGUGGAAUUCCAGGAGUUAGCGGUCAAAUGCGUAGAUCUCUGGAGGAACACCGAUGGCGAAGGCAGCUUCUUGGCUCAUUUCUGACGCUGAGGCACGAAAGCGUGGGGAGCAAACAGG